rnacentral:rRNA from 1 species
UACGGAGGGAGCAAGCGUUGUCCGGAUUUACUGGGCGUAAAGAGCGCGUAGGUGGUCCAUUAAGUCGGCUGUGAAAUCGCUGGGCCUAACCCAGCUGGGUCAGUCGAUACUGGUGGACUCGAGUUCGGGAGAGGGAAGUGGAAUUGCUGGUGUAGCGGUGGAAUGCGUAGAUAUCAGCAAGAACACCGGUGGCGAAGGCGACUUCCUGGACCGAUACUGACGCUGAGGCGCGAAAGCUAGGGGAGCGAAC